GGGUCAGUAGGUUGGUCGUGCCACCGGUACGUACUGGUCUCACUGAUUCCUCCUUCCUGAAGAACCGUAAUGCCAUUAAUUUGGUGUUGCGGGGAAACAGGACUGUUAAUUUGAAAAAAUUAGUGUGUUUAAAGCAAGCUAACGCUUGAAUACAUUAGCAUGGAAUAAUGAAAUAGGACGAUCGAUCCUAUUUUGUUGGUUUCUAGGAUUGACGUA
rnacentral:rRNA from 1 species